ACCCGCUGAACUUAAGCAUAUCAAUAAGCGGAGGAAAAGAAACCAACAGGGAUUGCCCUAGUAACGGCGAGUGAAGCGGCAAGAGCUCAAAUUUGAAAUCUGGCCCCCUUGGGGGUCCGAGUUGUAAUUUGCAGAGGGUGCUUUGGCGUUGGCUGUGGUCUAAGUUCCUUGGAACAGGACGUCGCAGAGGGUGAGAAUCCCGUAUGUGGCCGCCAGCCUCCGCCGUGUAAAGCCCCUUCGACGAGUCGAGUUGUUUGGGGAUGCAGCUCUAAAUGGGAGGUAAAUUUCUUCUAAAGCUAAAUACUGGCCAGAGACCGAUAGCGCACAAGUAGAGUGAUCGAAAGAUGAAAAGCACUUUGGAAAGAGAGUCAAAAAGCACGUGAAAUUGUUGAAAGGGAAGCGCUUGCAGCCAGACUUGCCUGUAGUUGCUCAUCCGGGCUCUUGCCCGGUGCACUCUUCUGCGGGCAGGCCAGCAUCAGUCCGGGCGGUUGGAUAAAUGCCUGCUAAAUGUACCUCUCCUCGGGGAGGACUUAUAGGGCAGGCGGCAUACAACCAGCCUGGACUGAGGUCCGCGCAUCUGCUAGGAUGCUGGCGUAAUGGCUGU
rnacentral:rRNA from 1 species